AUGAGGCCGCGUGGUGAUCGUGAACACCGAAUGUCGGUUGUGUUGUCUCUUGCACAUCACGACCAUCAUCAGAUGCUCAGGGAUCGGCAAGGCCAAGAUGCGUGCACUUGCAUAGAAAUAUGCCAAGAAACUCGCCGACAGUCUCGUGCAUGUGCGGAUCUUGAAGAUGCGCAGUGCUCCGGUGAGGACAUGGAUAACUUGUCCUGUGAAGCAGGUUGUGCUGCUUUCAACCCGGAGUUGCGCCGCAUCAAGUGGCCAAGGCGAUUCUGCCCCGACGUUUCUGUCCAAUUCGACGGGAAAACCAACCCUACUGACUUUCUCAAUGUCUACAACACCCCGUUUGUGGCUGUGAGCGGCCAAAAAAUGAGCACUCGCCAACUGAUUUCCCAUGGCACUCAAGCCCAAUAUUCGCUCCUGGCUCAUGAGUCUUCAAGAGAAUUUCAUUACUUCAUGGGAAGAUCUGUGCAAGCAAUUUGUGGGCGCCUUCCAAGAAAGGUUCAAGCGGUUAGGGAUGCCCAGUGA
rnacentral:rRNA from 1 species